GAUGAACGCUGGCGGCGUGCCUAAUACAUGCAAGUCGAGCGAACAGACGAGGAGCUUGCUCCUCUGACGUUAGCGGCGGACGGGUGAGUAACACGUGGAUAACCUACCUAUAAGACUGGGAUAACUUCGGGAAACCGGAGCUAAUACCGGAUAAUAUAUUGAACCGCAUGGUUCAAUAGUGAAAGACGGUUUUGCUGUCACUUAUAGAUGGAUCCGCGCCGCAUUAGCUAGUUGGUAAGGUAACGGCUUACCAAGGCAACGAUGCGUAGCCGACCUGAGAGGGUGAUCGGCCACACUGGAACUGAGACACGGUCCAUACUCCUACGGGAGGCAGCAGUAGGGAAUCUUCCGCAAUGGGCGAAAGCCUGACGGAGCAACGCCGCGUGAUUGAUGAAGGUCUUCGGAUCGUAAAACUCUGUUAUUAGGGAAGAACAAAUGUGUAAGUAACUAUGCACGUCUUGACGGUACCUAAUCAGAAAGCCACGGCUAACUACGUG
rnacentral:rRNA from 1 species